rnacentral:piRNA from 1 species
GGCACUGAAGCCUUUAGUCUUUUCCAG